rnacentral:misc_RNA from 1 species
AGAGAGAGAGAGAGAGAGAGGUUAGUUUGAAUGUAAAAAUCUGAGCAGAGAAGUAUGUCUGUGUAUUUGGGAUAGAAACGAAGAGGAGCCUUGCUCCUUGCCCAAGUUUUUGGCAACGUGGCUUCUGGGACCUCUUCUACAAUAAUCACACUGUGAUUAAGCAUGGUAAUAGGUUAAAUUUUGGGCAUGAGAAAGGAUUUGGACGUGUUUGCUUCCCAAAAUUUAUCCCAGACAAUGCACCUGAAUGCCCAAAAAUCUUGUGAGACUUCUUGACCAAUUAUAGUAUUUGUUCCAGCUAUAUUAUGUUUGUUUCCAGGAUUACUCUAAAUGACAUAAAUAAUUUCUUCCUAUUAGAUUUACAAAUUAUUGUCUGAGUGAAACAAAAAAGGAAGGACAAGAGUGACCGUAUAAUAGCAUGGAUCUAUUAAUUAUUUUGGUUGCAUAUCAUGAUGAAUUUUUAUUUCCCGUUCUUAAUUUCUGAUCUUGACUUUUCCUUUCUUCCUACACUAUAUUUUUAUAGUUUGCAUGCUCCAAGAACAGGAGGUGCAUGCUGCAGAGGUACUCUAAUCAGCAUUUGUUUCUGUAUUUAUUAACAUUCCCUACUCAUCUUUUCUUUAUUUUAUUGUAAUUUUGUUAAAAAAUUUUUAUUCUAUAUUCAGAUGGAGCGCACUUUCAUUGCAAUUAAGCCUGAUGGAGUACAGAGAGGGCUGGUAGGACAAGCAUCUAACUUGUAUUUAUUACUUAAGAGGACUUUACUUCCCUUGGCAAUUAACUAUCUAGCGUCUUGCUUUCUCGAGACAAUAAACUUCAGUAUUUUUUUUCUUAUAUUUGUCGCCUGUUUAGAUGGCUUGUAGUAUUUGUUUCUGGUAGAUUUCUUUUUCAGCCGAGAGUGCUGUUUGGCAUAUCUGAUGUGAUGUGACCUUUUGUUCCAGAUAGCAGAAAUCAUAUCUCGUUUUGAACGUAAGGGUUUCAAGCUUGUGGCAAUUAAGAUAGUGGUUCCUUCGAAGGAAUUUGCUCAGAAGCAUUAUCAUGAUCUGAAGGAAAGACCCUUCUUUGAUGGUCUCUGUGACUUCCUUAGCUCGGGCCCUGUUAUUGCUAUGGUAUGAAAAACCCGAAUUCUCGUUUUAAUUGUUGACAAGUGCUUUUGAGUUAUGUCAACGGUUCCAACUCAUGCAGGUCUGGGAAGGAGAAGGGGUGAUUAAAUAUGGUAGGAAGCUCAUUGGAGCCACAGAUCCCCAGAAAUCAGAACCUGGAACUAUCAGAGGUGAUCUAGCCGUUGUUGUUGGAAGGUAUUAAUUUGGAUUUAGACAAUAUUAUUAUCUUGCUCCAUCUUUAUGAUAUGAAAUCCGCCUUGACAUUGCUUGACUGCUAGAUGUGCUUUAUCCAUGUUGUGUCAUUCCAUCACCAUUAUAAUUUUAAGCUUAUUAAAUUGUUUUGUCAUGGCCGACCCCAAAUUACUGGGAUAAAUGUUUAAUUGAGUUGAGUAAAUUGUUUUGCCAUGCAGAAAUAUCAUCCAUGGAAGUGAUGGCCCGGAAACUGCCAAGGAUGAGAUUAACUUGUGGUUCAAACCGGAUGAAUUGGUUAGUUAUUCAAGCAAUGCUGAGAAAUGGCUCUACGGAGUUGACUGAAGUUUGUUCUCAGGUUUUCUUCAGAAACUUAGGUCCCACAUGUAGGAUGGGGGAGAAUCAUAAUUUUUAGAAUAAGAUUGUUUCCGCUGAGGCGAGUGAAAAUGGUGCUUUGCUACAAACAAUUGGCAAAAGUUGAAAUUUUAGUAAUAUUCUAUUUCACCCUCUUUUUGUCAUCACCUCAAAUCACAUAGCUAUUCUACCUUCAAAUUGUUCAAUAUCCUGGAACAAGGCUCCCUUGCAAUAUAAUAAAACAUUAGGCUUGAGUUGCAUGACAAUAAUUUAU